CCCCUAUAGGGUUUGGGGGGUCCCCUAGAUGGUUUUGGGGUCCCCUAUAGGAUUUUGGGGUGCCCUAUAGCAUUUUAGUUGUCCCCACGGGGAUUUCUGGAGUCCCCUCUAAGCUUUUUUGGUCCCCUCUAGGCUUUUUGGUCUCCUAUAGGGUUUUUGUCAUCCCUGUGGGGAUUU